CAGUCGCCGCGGGAAUACAGAGGGUGCGAGCGUUAAUCGGAUUUACUGGGCGUAAAGCGUGCGUAGGCGGCUUUUUAAGUCGGAUGUGAAAUCCCUGAGCUUAACUUAGGAAUUGCAUUCGAUACUGGGAAGCUAGAGUAUGGGAGAGGAUGGUAGAAUUCCAGGUGUAGCGGUGAAAUGCGUAGAGAUCUGGAGGAAUACCGAUGGCGAAGGCAGCCAUCUGGCCUAAUACUGACGCUGAGGUACGAAAGCAUGGGGAGCAAACAGGAUUAGAGACCCGAGUAGUCCCUGUCUCUUAUAA
rnacentral:rRNA from 1 species